UAAUACGGAGGGUGCAAGCGUUAAUCGGAAUUACUGGGCGUAAAGCGCACGCAGGCGGUUUGUUAAGUCAGAUGUGAAAUCCCCGGGCUCAACCUGGGAACUGCAUUUGAAACUGGCAAGCUAGAGUCUCGUAGAGGGGGGUAGAAUUCCAGGUGUAGCGGUGAAAUGCGUUAGAGAUCUGGAGGAAUACCGGUGGCGAAGGCGGCCCCCUGGACGAAGACUGACGCUCAGGUGCGAAAGCGUGGGGAGCAAACAGGAUUAGAUACCCUGGUAGUCCACGCUGUAAACGAUGUCGAUUUGGAGGUUGUGCCCUUGAGGCGUGGCUUCCGGAGCUAACGCGUUAAAUCGACCGCCUGGGGAGUACGGCCGCAAGGUUA
rnacentral:rRNA from 1 species